rnacentral:lncRNA from 1 species
GAAAAGAAAAGGGAAGGGAAGGGAAGGGAAGGGAAAUAGAAGUGUGAAUCAAUUGUUUUAAAGAUGGUAUAAUAAAAUCUGCAUGAGACUCAUAUUCUGCCUAACGUGGGCUCCACGGGAAUUUCAGGUUAAUAUCCUGAAUGACAAAUUGGAAAGGCCUAAAUAGACUAAAAUGUGUGUGAUUUUGAGUAUUGUAGUUGUUUUAUUCCUCUGGGACAGAUGGUGAGCUACAGGUUUUCCUGGUUACCGGCUGAAGGAAAUGCUGAUUUGGGGAAAAGAUGAUUAAGGUAUUUACACCUUCCAGAGUUCUAGGGAUCAGAUUUGAUAGAGGGAGACCCCCCCUGAGAACUAGAUUCCAGAGAAUCAAACAAAAAGGUUAUCUUGAUGAUACUAAAAUUUUGUUUUGAGAUUUAUAUAUUACAGAAUAUACAGCCUUGGUGAAUUUCAUCGUCAGACAUGCUGAACUGACCGGCCUGAACUCUUGAUGUCUUGGUUUUUCAUCUGGAUCCAGUCAGGACACAGACAUCAGGGACUAAUACAAUCAUUGGUGUGGCCUUCUUAAGGCCAACUAACUCGCCCAUUUCCCUACCCUUCCCCCUCCCUUCAAAAAUAUCUCAAUGCCCAUAUUCAGCUUGAAGAAGUUAUGAAGAGUCGUCGUUCCAGUUCCCUAAGCUUUGGGGCUGGGGGUGGUUAUUAUAGGUUGUCUUUGAUACUAAAAAUGUUGAAGUACAGGGCUUGGACUCAGGCCUUCUAUUGCUGUUAUUAUAAACAGAUCUGAGAUGCUUAAGCCUGUGAGUUAAGGGCCAAAGAGGAAAUUCAUGGCUCAGAGUUUAUUGUUAGGGGGUUUUCGGUUAUUUUAAUCAGAAAUGGCCGUGAGUAGUUAACAGAGAACAGUCCAGAUUACUUUACAUAGAUAGUUGGUUUUCAAAAAACGUCAGAAGUCCACAGAACGUGACAUUUAAUGUUAUUUAUUCACUUGUUGAGAGAAGUCUGCUAAUGACAGCUUUCCCUGUCUUGGAUUCAAAGAAGAAACUGAGCAUCUUUGAGUUACUUCAGUUGUGGCAAAACAACCACUAGGCAAGAAUUGCCUCAUUCAUCUACAGAUGUAAUACUGUCCAAAGAAAGGACACAAUUACAGGUUAGGACAGCUUGACUCUGCCGAGACAGAGUAGGCUAGUCCUUAAUAUUCCUGUUUCUUUACGUCAGGUGACCCUGGCCAGUAGGCUGAAGACCGAUGCUCCAACAUGCUGAAGUAAGGGACCGUCCAGGCAAAGGACCGAGAGAACCGGAGGUCUCACCGCUACUAAGACAAGAGAAGUCUGCAAGGGUGACAAGAACUACUAAUGAUGAAAGAUGUCAGCAAGACUACAAGAAGGAAACACUAUCUGAGUCCAGGGGAAACACCACCCCAUGUCUAGCAUGGUAUACUGCUCCUUGGAGCUCCAUAGAAGACUCACAACCAUCUGUGAUGGGAUCCGAUGCCGAUGCCCUCUUCUGGUGUGUCUGAAGACAGCAACGGUGUACUCAUAUACAUAAAAU